GACAGAGGAGCCAAGCGUUGUCCGGAUUGACUGGGCGUAAAGCGCACGCAGGCGGUGCGGCACGUGGGGUGUGAAAGCGGCCCGCUUAACGGGUCGAGGCCAUCCCAUACGGCCACACUCGAGAGUGGCAGAGGUUCGUGGAAUUGCCGGUGUAGUGGUGAAAUGCGCAGAUAUCGGGAAGAACACCCGUGGCUAAGGCGGCUCUCUAGUACGGUACCGACGCUGAGACGCGAAAGCGUGGGGAGCGAACAGG
rnacentral:rRNA from 1 species